rnacentral:rRNA from 1 species
UUCCGGUUGAUCCUGCCGGAAGCCGCUGCUAUCCGGCUGGGACUAAGCCAUGCGAGUCAAGGGGCCUGUAUUCCUUCGGGAAUGCAGGCACCGGCGGACGGCUCAGUAACACGUGGACAACCUGCCCUCGGGUGGGGGAUAACCCCGGGAAACUGGGGCUAAUCCCCCAUAGGUGAUGGGUGCUGGAAUGCCCCUUCACCGAAAGUGCUCAGCGCCCGAGGAUGGGUCUGCGGCGGAUUAGGUAGUUGGCGGGGUAACGGCCCGCCAAGCCGAAGAUCCGUACGGGCCAUGAGAGUGGGAGCCCGGAGAUGGACCCUGAGACACGGGUCCAGGCCCUACGGGGCGCAGCAGGCGCGAAACCUCCGCAAUGCGGGAAACCGCGACGGGGCUAGCCGGAGUGCCUGUGCAUGGCACAGGCUGUCGGGGAGCCUAAAAAGCUCCCUAUAGCAAGGGCCGGGCAAGGCCGGUGGCAGCCGCCGCGGUAAUACCGGCGGCCCGAGUAGCGGCCACUGUUAUUGGGCCUAAAGCGUUCGUAGCCGGUCUGGCAAGUCCCCCGGGAAAUCUGGUCGCUUAACGAUCAGGCUUCCGGGGGAUACUGCCAGACUAGGGACCGGGAGAGGCCGGGGGUAUUCCCGGGGUAGGGGUGAAAUCCUGUAAUCCCGGGAGGACCACCUGUGGCGAAGGCGCCCGGCUGGAACGGGUCCGACGGUGAGGGACGAAGGCCUGGGGAGCGAACCGGAUUAGAUACCCGGGUAGUCCAGGCUGUAAACGAUGCGGGCUAGGUGUCGCGAUAGCCAUGAGCUGUCGCGGUGCCGGAGGGAAGCCGUUAAGCCCGCCGCCUGGGAAGUACGGCCGCAAGGCUGAAACUUAAAGGAAUUGGCGGGGGAGCACUACAACGGGUGGAGCCUGCGGUUUAAUUGGAUUCAACGCCGGG